CUUCAGCGGUUCUUCACGGAGCUGGUCUGGAAGCUCGGGACAUACUCCAUCACGAAGGUCCUGCACAAAUAGUGCAAAGAUUACUUGCAAAUGGCAAACAGUCACAUGUGGAAGAUACGCUGACUCGGUAUCUGCUCCAAGAAACCAGAAACGCUGUCAAAUUCUGCCAUAAUUCUUGGCACAGUAACACAAGUAUGUAAAAGCUCCACCCCUGCAGCUUUUUGUUAUUGUCACGUCAUUGUCACAGAAGGAUGUCCAUGAAUAUAGGUAUGAUUAUGUUGCUCAUAGAAAAAAAAAACUAAAACAAUAAAAGACUGAAAACUGU